GACUAUUUUAAGAGCUUCUUAGGCAUGCCACAUAAGACAAAAUAUUUAGAACCAAUCAUUUAGACAUGUCAGGUUUUUGUUUUACGGGCCUCGAACCAUCCAAUUUCAUAAAAAUACCGAGCCCAUUUGUUAUGUUUUCGCCUUAAGUGGUCCAACGUUCCUUCUAUCGCUAUGUUAACCUAAUCACCUAAAGUCAUCUCUGUCGUCUCCCCAACUCCUCAGGUCAUACGCUUCCGGCGACAAUGGUGGAACUUCAAUGCACUUCAAUACAACACAAUUCAACACAUCGUUUAACUCUCCACAUCCUUGCAUACUCUUGAAGAUAUUGAUGCCUCUUCAAAAUACCCUAAUUACUCACUCAGACGAAAGACAUCCCAACUCUCUAUGUUCCCUCUUCAAACUCCAUAUAUAUACCCCAACACAACAAUCUAUGCUCAGAUCCUUAAAUCCAUUCCUAGCACCAUGGUAAACCAAACUUCAGUCACCAUCGCUCAAGCUCCUUCUCCACUUUUCUUUACGCAAGUUUCAGCAGGACCAGGUGAUUCAAAGUUGCAGUUUCGGCUAAUCCAUUUCUGGGAAGCUCGCAAACAUGCCAAAGGAGGCAUCCUUAUCGGGAUUGAGAUGCUGAUGAUUAAUGAACAAGUAUGUGUCACUGUCUCAUCCUUCUUUCUUUCGACUUCCUCUGACUAUUUAUUUCAUCACUAACAGAACAGACCUCUUUUAAUUAAUGUGCUCAAUAUCUAUCUAUACAAUGUUCAUCACUGUGUCUUCUGCAUAUAUAUUUGUUAGAGACAACAAUAUGAAUUAUCACACCAUACUUUUACAUAUUCAGCUGAAUUAAUCUUUUUUUAUCUGAUCUCUAGGGCACUGUCCCCCAGUGGUUCAUUGCUCAAAACCGUGUUACAGCUCAAACGUGGAAGCAUCUACACUUUGACAAACUUCUUUGCAUCCAACAGCAAGGUGAUGUACGGUGUGGCUGACCAGAAGCUGGUUAUUUGUAUCACACAUACCUCUAUCCUGUCAAAGCUUGAAGAAAACAUUGAAGGCAUUCCGUCUCAGUGCUUCAGGAUCCAUUCCUUUCCAGAUUUUGAAGCCAACUGCUAUCUUAGAGGGGAUCUUUAUGAUGUUGUUGGUUACCUUAAGUUGGUUGGACGGCCAGGCUCUCCAUCAACGUCCCGUUUUACGCACCAAGGAUGGCUCAACUUCACAGAAAAUUAUGGUCCACCUGCAGAUUAAAGAUGGUCCCGUUAUGAACGUCUACCUAUGGGACCAAGCUGCAUACUAUCCUUAUGAACAUCGAACAUACUAUCCUUGACUGUCACAAAAAUAGUCUCCCCUGAAGUCUUACCACCUAAGGAUCGCCCACUUGAGAUGCCUCCCAUGCCUAUUUCUUCGAGCCAAAACAACCACACAGCCAGUGAAGUGGAUAGCUCAGUGGUGACUAAGAGCAGUGGUCGAGGGUUUUCCUAUGCAAACAGUCAUCCCAGCUCAGCAACUGACGAGGAGAAGAAACCAAAACGCAUUAGGCGUAAUGGUUGAUCAUCCUGCACUCAUGUCACUCAAUCAAUGGUUGGUACAGACUUCCCAGCCAGCAUGCUUUUCUAAUAACAGUCUUUUUUUCGCUUUGUCGUUUUGUUUCCUUCUGACAGUGUGCUAUUGGCUUUCUUCUUUAGAGUGGUUUGUUUUUGCACCCGAGUCUUGGUUAUGCAUUUAUAAAACUUUUUA